GAGCGGUAAGGCCCUUCGGGGUACACGAGCGGCGAACGGGUGAGUAACACGUGGGUGAUCUGCCCUGUACUUCGGGAUAAGCCUGGGAAACUGGGUCUAAUACCGGAUAUGACCUUACAUCGCAUGGUGUUUGGUGGAAAGAUUUAUCGGUACAGGAUGGGCCCGCGGCCUAUCAGCUUGUUGGUGGGGUAAUGGCCUACCAAGGCGACGACGGGUAGCCGGCCUGAGAGGGCGACCGGCCACACUGGGACUGAGACACGGCCCAGACUCCUACGGGAGGCAGCAGUGGGGAAUAUUGCACAAUGGGCGAAAGCCUGAUGCAGCGACGCCGCGUGAGGGAUGACGGCCUUCGGGUUGUAAACCUCUUUCGACAGGGACGAAGCGCAAGUGACGGUACCUGUAGAAGAAGCACCGGCCAACUACGUGCCAGCAGCCGCGGUAAUACGUAGGGUGCGAGCGUUGUCCGGAAUUACUGGGCGUAAAGAGCUUGUAGGCGGUUUGUCGCGUCGUCCGUGAAAACUUGGGGCUCAACCCCAAGCUUG
rnacentral:rRNA from 1 species